AUUGAACGCUGGCGGCAUGCCUUACACAUGCAAGUCGAACGGUAACAGGUCUUCGGAUGCGGACGAGUGGCGAACGGGUGAGUAAUACAUCGGAACGUGCCUAGUAGUGGGGGAUAACUACUCGAAAGAGUGGCUAAUACCGCAUGAGAUCUACGGAUGAAAGAAGGGGAUCGUAAGACCUUGUGCUACUAGAGCGGCCGAUGGCAGAUUAGGUAGUUGGUGGGAUAAAAGCUUACCAAGCCGACGAUCUGUAGCUGGUCUGAGAGGACGAUCAGCCACACUGGGACUGAGACACGGCCCAGACUCCUACGGGAGGCAGCAGUGGGGAAUUUUGGACAAUGGGCGAAAGCCUGAUCCAGCAAUGCCGCGUGCAGGAUGAAGGCCUUCGGGUUGUAAACUGCUUUUGUACGGAACGAAAAGCCCUGGGUUAAUACCCUGGGGUCAUGACGGUACCGUAAGAAUAAGCACCGGCUAACUACGUGCCAGCCGCCGCGGUAA
rnacentral:rRNA from 1 species